rnacentral:lncRNA from 12 species
AUGAAUAGAAGACUGAGAUCGCUUACCUGCCCUCCCAUAGUAACACUGCUGUCCAUUAAAGCAGCAGUUCAUAGCUUCACACUCAGCACCACUGAUCCCAGGUUGUCCACAUUGGAUCUGCUCAUAAUCAGCUACAGCACAUCUAUCAAGGGGCUCUGCCUGCACCACUGGCUUCUGAAGAAACUGCUGGCUAGUUUGUUGAACUGGCUUCUGAAACUGAAACUGCUGGCUAGCUUGUUGAACUGGCUUCUGAAACUGAAACUGCUGGUCAGUUUGCUGGAUCAUCAGGGCUUGAAGGUUCUGAGGCAGAUCACGCCAUUGUGGAACAGCAUGACAAAAAGCACAAAGUGCCAAAAUCUGAACCAAACACCAACUUCCAGCCAUUGUUCCACAGCUAAGCACAAAGCAGAGAUGCUGGCCUUCCAUCUUUUUAUACUCUACAGGUUUCAGCUAAUUAAAGAUAGUCCCUCCCCCUUCAUUAACUCUCACGAUUCUCCAGACUUGAAUGAGUUGGAUCUUAUGAAACUGAAUGAUUCUCAUUGAUUCAAUUAUCCUUGUUACAUACAUUAAAACACAAACUUGAGCAUAAUUCCUAAUAGCAUACUAGUAUGAAUUUCUGCCAUUUUAAAUUCAGCCUUGGUAUUAUCCUUCAUUAGAUGAAUCCAAUUGUUGAUGUCUUGACAAUUCUGGUUUGUUUCAUUCUUAGAAAAACAUCUUGGAAUGUACAGGCCUUUAUCUAUAGACUGGCUCAGAAGAAAGUUGAUUUAACAUACUCAUGAUUAUGUUGAAGCUUUGAGUAAUACUUGAACCCUGUCCCAGCCAUAGCUGCUCUAUUCUUAAAUACUGCAUUAUAAUUGAAAUACAGUCAUUCAUAUUAUAAAGUGCUUUUAAAAUUUUACACACACUGCAAUAUUUUAAUAUCCUUCAGUUAGAGGUGGAAAGUAACUAAUUAUAAAUACUUUUGUUACAGUGCUUGAGUAUAUUUGUACAUUUUUCUACUUUCUUGAGUAUAAUUAAAUUGUG